rnacentral:lncRNA from 1 species
UUGAAAACGUAAAUAUAAUCGUAUUGGUAUAGUGCAUUUAAAAAUAUUUUUCAACUAGACUAUGCAUAUUUGAUAAAUUAUGAGAUAAUUUUAUAUUAAUGACACAACAACUUGAUAUUUUCAAUUUUCUUUUUUUUAAAAAAAGAGGUACACUUGUUUUCAUAGUUUUAUUCCUCAAUUCUAGCGUCUUUAAUAUAUUAUAAAUUUGCAAAAUAUUGUUCAAGAUUCGGCAGAAAAUCCCAAAAUCACAUAGUAAUUUCUUGGUGGUAGUGAAAUUUAAUAACUAUGUAUAAUCUCAAUGGGAAGUAUCUAAAUUGAAAGAAGAUAUAAAAAUUCUUAAAAAAAAAAAAAAAAAAAGAAACCUUGCUUGAUCAAUAUUAGGUCUAACUUGGAUAUAUAUGUGCGAUUAUUAUACAUAUAUAUGUAAGAGUAAUAAGAAGAAAGAUUAAAAGAAAGCUUUGUUGAUCCAACACGUAUAUAUAUCUCCAAGAUAUCAAGAAAUACUCGAGAAAUUAAUAAUUGGUCGAAAGAUUUGAUGAGCUUGCUUGCCUCGAUCCAUCCUUCUUCCCCUUCACUCUUUGCUUUGCGAUAUGUACAAUUGAUCAUGCCUCGCUUUUAUUAACAGCAGCAAUAGCCUUAUGCUUAUUAUUAUUGUAAAGAACUAAGCUUAAAUUUGUAGGACGCUUUACAUCAUCAGAAACAUCUCUCUUCUGAAUCUGCAGCGGAAGACCAGCUUUUUGUGCAGCAUCUACACUAACUGAUUGUGGGCGAGGAUAAAAGAAAUCAGUAGGGAAAAAGUAGUAUUGUUGAAGGCCAGCCAUGGAAAGAAAAAUCAAGAAUCAAGAAAGCUAGCUAGCUAGCUAUCAAGAAUCAAGAAAGCUACUUCAGAAAACUAUAGUACCAAGAACAAGAAAGAAAGGUUUCUUUGGUUGUGGUAUAGUGUUUGCUUACUCUACACAGAUCAUACUUGUAUUAUAUAUAGAGAGAAGAGAAGAGGCGAGGCGGCAUUUAUGACUAUAAUUUUUUUUUUUUUUUUAUUGAGUUGGAAUUUAAGUUAGGAGAGGGUGUGCUAAUUAUUUAAGAACCCUUCCUUGAACGUGACUUACUUACGUCUACUUUUAAAUUAAAAAUUAAUUUUUAUGUCUUUUAAUAUUAGUAAAAAAUUCAAUUAUAGACUAAUUAAUUAUAAAAAUAUCGGUAGUCAAAUGUUGACUAUAUAUAUGUUCUCAAUUCUCAAGUCCAAGCAUGACUAAAUGUGAAGCAAGCAAAGCAUGCUUCGUUUGUGUACUCGUUGUCUUAGCAAUUAGCAUAUUCUUUUCAUAUAUUCGUUUUUUAUAAUAAUAUAAAAAGCAGCCUCCCAACGUAGAUUGCACGCCAUUUGAAAUUAACAUGCCGGCUCAUGCCAUUUGAAAGAGACAAAUUGCUUAUUUCAAGCCAUCAAUCUAAAAACCUAAAUAAUUACUUUAUAUUAGAGAAUUGUUAAAUGUCAUAACUUAUUUAUUGGACCGUCCUCUUCUACACCAUGUUGUUUUUGUUUGUGAUGUUUUUUAAUGCAAGUGUCCUUAUAAUAUUCAAAUAGAAUCAUUCCAAUAGUGAUAAAUUAUACUUUUGAAAUUUUCUAAUUUUAAUUUUCACAUAUCGAACCACCUGUUAAUUUUUUAUUAGUCAAUUUUGUUAAUCUAUACAAUCACGCGUGAUGCACAUGCACACGUUCUUAAACCGUUUGAUUUGGAAACUAUGGUAGCCAUAUUUCUAACAUGUGAUGCACGCAAUGGUUCACGUGGCCAAAAAAAAAAAAAAGAAAAAAGAAAUGUUUGAAGCGGGGAUGAUUCUUGGAAAGUGGAAACUUUGGUACGUAUUUGGUAGGUAAUAUUAGCUAACCAUUGUUUUCACGUUUUGUUUGGUAUUAACUCCUAACCCUAAAUGAAUGGUGUUGGUUGAUAUAAUUCUUGCAUAUCCUACAAAGUUGGCCGCAAAAAGAUUGUCGAAUUUGAAUAUUCUUAAUCAUAAAAAUGAUAUUAAUUAAUAAAUAUUAUUUUAAAAAAUUUAAAAUAUUAUUUCAGUAUAUUAAACACUUCAUAAAUUAGAAUAAAAAAAAAUACUUCCAACCCCAAAUAAAAAAGAAAUAAUUAAUUGACUUUUAGAUUGAAAUUGCCAAUAUUUCUUCUGUUACAGAUUGGUUUGGUGAAAGAGUUGUUGUGGGUUAUUUAAUUUUUAUUUAUUUUCUCACAUUAAAAAAAGUACAUUUUAACACAACAAUCAAAUUUAUUUUUCUUCUUUUAUAGUUAGGAACCAAAUCUAAUUAUAUUGACUUAAGUCCCUCCUCAAAUUAUAUUGAAAACACAAAUUUAAUCGUAUUGGUAUUUGCAUAUUUGAUAAAUUAUGUGUUAGUUUUGUAGUAUUAAUUAGACACUUGUUAUUUUCAAUUAAAAAAAAAAAGAGAAAAUACUUAUAUUAAUUUCUUGAUGGUAGUGAAAUUUAAUAACUAUAAUCUCAAUUAAAAGUAUCUAAAUUGAAAGAAAAUGUAAAAAUUCCUAGACAAAAAAAGAAACCUUUCUUAAUCAUUGCGUCUAACUUGGAUACAUACAAUUCGAUUACAAUAGGAUAUAUGCAAUUGUUAUACAUAUAUAUGUAAGAGUAUAAUAAGAAGAAAGAUAUUAAAAGAAGAAAAAGAAAAAGCUUCGUUGAUCCAACACCUAUAUAUCCAAGAUAUCAAGAAAUACUUAAGAAAUUUAUAAUUGGUCGAAAGAUUUGAUUGGCUGCCUCGAUCCGUCCUUCUUCCCCUUCUCUCUUGCUUUUGCGAUAUAUAAAAUUAAUCAUGCCUUGCUUUUAUUAAUAGCAGCAAUAGCCUUAUAAUUGGCAUGAUUAUUAUUAUUGUAAAGAACCAAGUUUAAAUUUGUAGGACGCUUUACAUCAUCUGAUAUGUCUCUCUUCUGAAUCUGCAGCGGAAGAACAGCUUUUUGUGCAGCGUCUACACUAACUGAUUGUGGGCGAGGAUAAAAGAAAUCAGUAGGGAAAAAGUAGUAUUGUUGAAGGCCAGCCAUGGAUAGAAAAAUCAAGAAUCAAGAAAGCUAGCUGGCUAGUUAACAAGAAUCAAGAAACCUACUUCAGAAAACUAUAGUACCAAGAACAAGAAAGAAACGUUUCUUUAGUUGUAGUUUAGUGUUUGCUUACUCUACACAGAUCAUACUUGCAUUAUAUACAGAGAGAAGAGGAGAGGCGGCAUCUACAACUAUAUUUUUUUUUUUCUUUCAAUAUUGGGUUGGAAUAUAAGUUUAGGAGAGGGUGUGCUAAUUAUUUUAAUGUAUAUUUUAUUUGUUUGUUUCAUUGUGCCAACUUAAAGAAUAUUCUAUUAACAAGAAUAUUCCUUUUUUAUUUGUAUUUUUUAUUUUUUAAUAUUUU